GUACUCUUAUAAAGUGUCUGAGCAGCUGUGAGGAAUGGUUGCUGCUUGAUUGUCUGUUUGUUUCAUCGUCAGAUUUCUUCUCUAAUAAGGUGAGCAAUCGAUGUUUUCUUUUGUGUUCAGGUAGAAAGAAGUAUUGUUUUAUGGGGUUUUUCUCUUCCAUAGGCUGCGUUUAUCCUUCAUGUGCAAGUGUUGUGCAUUUAAUAAGAGGGUGAUCAGAUUUGCUCUUUGGCGGCUGGACUGUGGAUGUGCUGUUUGUUUGCCAUUUGAGUGUGGUAUUGUUGUGCAGGCCUGGUUAAACGGAGGGGAACUGCAUUUGGUCACUGCUGUCCUUCUUUACCCUUUAUUUUUGGGUUUUGUGAUUUAAUGUUUGUUUGGUUUUCUUUAUUUAAGGCACCCAUCACGUUGUAUGGAUGCUGUGUUUAGCUGAUUGUUAAAAAGACUAUAGGGGGAUUGUUUGCAGAUAUUUUACUGUAUGAUAACCAACUGAUUUUGUGUAUCUGUUCCUUUCCAGUGGAUCAUCUGGGAGCACUGGUUGGAUUGUGGGUGUUGGUCCUUUGAUGGUGGAAUCUGUGCUACGGUUUACACUGCAUGCUGUGUGAAUUUUAUGAAUUUACGGUGUGUGGCACUUUGCGUGGGUGUGCGCGCGUGUGUGUGUGUGUUGAUGUGUUUUUCUUUACAGGCACCAUUUUGGGUGAACCUUUUGGGGUUAAAGUGGGCCUGCACCUGUGGCCUGUCAGUUUUCCUUUGUAUCCACUGGAAUGUUUGGUGUUAAUUGGUAAUUGUAACAGUUGGUAUCCUUUUAAUAUGAUUCAUGUUGCAGAUUUAAAUAAAAUAAGGUACCAAUAAUAAAGGUUUAUAUUUUAACUGA